rnacentral:rRNA from 1 species
AUUGAACGCUGGCGGCAGGCCUAACACAUGCAAGUCGAGCGGAGCGGCGGACGGGGGAGUAAUGCCUAGGAAUCUGACUGGCAGUGGGGGAUAACGUCCGGACACGGGCGCUAAUACCGCAUACCAUCAAAUGAGCCCAGGUCGGAGUAGCUAGUUGGUGGGGUAAAGGCCUAACAAGGCGACGAGCCGUAACUGGUCUGAGAGGAGGAUCAGUCACACUGGAACUGAGACACGGUCCAGACUCCUACGGGAGGCAGCAGGGGGGAAUAUUGGACAAUGGGCGAAAGCCUGAUCCAGCCAUGCCGCGUGUGUGAAGAAGGUCUUCGGAUUGUAAAGCACUUUAAGUUGGGAGGCGUUACCAACAGAAUAAGCACCGGCUAACUUCGUGCCAGCAGCCGCGGUAAUUC